CGACUGUAUCUCCUCCCAGCCUCUCAUAUAACCCCAACUUCAUCAUCAGUAGGACACUAUGAAAAGCCUGUGUAAGGCCUCUAAGCAGAAAAGGUUCUGUGUCUGAGCAGCUGACACUCUUAGCCAUCUAAUUCCAUGAACAGAAGGAAUGCAAUCAGAACACAAACUGCCUGAAAUAAUGACAUCUACAAUGAGAGACAUCUUUUUAAUUCAUGUCAUUGUUAUCAAAAACAUUCCAA